AUUGAACGCUGGCGGCAGGCCUAACACAUGCAAGUCGAACGGUAACAGGAAGAAGCUUGCUUCUUUGCUGACGAGUGGCGGACGGGUGAGUAAUGUCUGGGAAACUGCCUGAUGGAGGGGGAUAACUACUGGAAACGGUAGCUAAUACCGCAUAACGUCGCAAGACCAAAGAGGGGGACCUUCGGGCCUCUUGCCAUCGGAUGUGCCCAGAUGGGAUUAGCUAGUAGGUGGGGUAACGGCUCACCUAGGCGACGAUCCCUAGCUGGUCUGAGAGGAUGACCAGCCACACUGGAACUGAGAAACGGUCCAGACUCCUACGGGAGGCAGCAGUGGGGAAUAUUGCACAAUGGGCGCAAGCCUGAUGCAGCCAUGCCGCGUGUAUGAAGAAGGCCUUCGGGUUGUAAAGUACUUUCAGCGGGGAGGAAGGGAGUAAAGUUAAUACCUUUGCUCAUUGACGUUACCCGCAGAAGAAGCACCGGCUAACUCCGUG
rnacentral:rRNA from 1 species